rnacentral:rRNA from 1 species
AUUGAACGCUGGCGGCAGGCCUAACACAUGCAAGUCGAACGAGUGGCGGACGGGUGAGUAAUGUCUGGGAACCUGCCCGAUGGAGGGGGAUAACUACUGGAAACGGUGGCUAAUCCCGCAUACCAUCGUAGUGGCCCAAAUGGGAUUAGCUUGUUGGUGGGGUAACGGCUCACCAAGGCGACGAUCCCUAGCUGGUCUGAGAGGAGGACCAGCCACACUGGGACUGAGACACGGUCCAGACUCCUACGGGAGGCAGCAGUGGGGAAUAUUGGACAAUGGGCGAAAGCCUGAUGCAGCCAUGCCGCGUGUAUGAAGAAGGCCUUCGGGUUGUAAAGUACUUUCAGCGGGGAAGCGGUACCCGCAGAAGAAGCACCGGCUAACUCCGUGCCAGCAGCCGCGGUAAUAC